rnacentral:tRNA from 1 species
GAGGGUGUAGCUCAGUGGCAGAGCGCAUGCUUAACAUGCACGAGGUCCUGGUUUCAAUGUCCAGUACCUCCA